UCCUUGGUGGUCCAGUGGAUAAGACUCUGCACUCCCAAUGCAGGGGCCUGGGUCUGAUCCCUGGUCGUGGAA
rnacentral:tRNA from 1 species